AUGGUAGGAUAGAGGCCUACCAUGGUGGUAACGGGUAACGGGGUGUUAGGGCACGACACCGGAGAGGGAGCCUGAGAAACGGCUACCACAUCCAAGGAUGGCAGCAGGCGCGCAAAUUACCCAAUCCCGACACGGGGAGGUAGUGACAAUAAAUAACAAUACGGGGUUCUUUAGGAUCUCGUAAUUGGAAUGAGUACAAUUUAAAUCUCUUAACGAGGAACAAUUGGAGGGCAAGUCUGGUGCCAGCAGCCGCGGUAAUUCCAGCUCCAAUAGCGUAUAUNAAAGUUGUUGCAGUUAAAAAGCUCGUAGUUGAAUUUCGGGGUCAGUAGGUCGGUCGUGCCACUGGUAUGAACUGGUUUUACUGAUUCCUCCCUCUUGAAGAACUGUAAUGCCAUUAAUUUGGUGUUGCAGGGAAUCAGGACUGUUACUUUGAAAAAAUUAGAGUGUUUAAAGCAGGCUUUAGCUUGAAUACAUUAGCAUGGAAUAAUGAAAUAGGACGUUUGAUCCUAUUUUGUUGGUUCCUAGGAUUGACGUAAUGAUUAAUAGGGAUAGUUGGGGGCAUUAGUAUUCAAUUGUCAGAGGUGAAAUUCUUGGAUUUAUUGAAGACUAACUACUGCGAAAGCAUUUGCCAGGGAUGUUUUCAUUAAUCAAGAACGAAAGUUAGGGGAUCGAAGACGAUCAGAUACCGUCGUAGUCUUAACCAUAAACUAUGCCGACUAGGGAUCGGAUGAUGUUAAUUUUUUAAUGACUCAUUCGGCGCCUUACGGGAAACCAAAGUGUUUGGG
rnacentral:rRNA from 1 species